AGUGCAUGUGGCGGAUGCCUUGGCGAUCACAGGCGAAGAAAGACGCGGCAGCCUGCGAAAAGCUGCGGGGAGCUGGCAAACGAGCUUUGAUCCGCAGAUAUCUGAAUGGGGGAACCCACACCGCAAGGUGUAUCCGUAGCUGAAUACAUAGGUUACGGAGGCGAACGAGGAGAACUGAAACAUCUAAGUAUCCUCAGGAAAAGAAAUCAACCGAGAUUCCGGCAGUAGCGGCGAGCGAACCCGGAGGAGCCCAGCUUUUGAUAGUACGAACUUUAGCCGAAAGGUCCUGGAAAGGCCUGCUAUAGUGGGUGAUAGCCCCGUAGGCGAAAGAGUUGGUACGGUACUAAGGAAGCGAGAAGUAGAGCGGGACACGUGGAAUCCUGUUCGAAGACGGGGGGACCAUCCUCCAAGGCUAAAUACUCGUGAUCGACCGAUAGUGAACCAGUACCGUGAGGGAAAGGCGAAAAGAACCCCGGGAGGGGAGUGAAAUAGAACCUGAAACCGCAUGCAUACAAACAGUAGGAGCCUCGUCAGAGGUGACUGCGUACCUUUUGCAUAAUGGGUCAGCGACUUACAUUCUGUGGCGAGCUUAACCGAAUAGGGGAGGCGCAGCGAAAGCGAGUUCGAAAUGAGCGUCCAGUCGCAGGGUGUAGACCCGAAACCAGAUGAGCUAUCCAUGGCCAGGUUGAAGGUGUGGUAACACACACUGGAGGACCGAACCGACUAGUGUUGCAAAAUUAGCGGAUGAGCUGUGGAUAGGGGUGAAAGGCCAAACAAAUCUGGAGAUAGCUGGUUCUCCCCGAAAACUAUUGAGGUAGUGCCUCGUGUGUCGCUCCAGGGGGUAGAGCACUGUUUUGGCUAGGGGGACAUGGAGUCUUACCAAACCAAGGCAAACUCCGAAUACCUGGAAGCGUAAGCACGGGAGACAGAGCACCGGGUGCUAACGUCCGGACUCAAAAGGGAAACAACCCAGACCGCCGGCUAAGGUCCCAAAUAACAGCUAAGUGGAAAACGAAGUGGAAAGGCCGUGACAACCAGGAAGUUGGCUUAGAAGCAGCCAUCCUUCAAAGAAAGCGUAAUAGCUCACUGGUCGAGUCCUUCUGCGCGGAAGAUGUAACGGGGCUAAGCUGUUAACCGAAGCCGCGGAUGCGCUGGUUAUCCAGUGCGUGGUAGGGGAGCGUUCUGUAAGUCUGCGAAGGCGGUUCGAGAGGACUGCUGGAGAUAUCAGAAGUGCGAAUGCUGACAUGAGUAACGUUAAAGCAGGUGAAAAGCCUGCUCGCCGUAAGCCCAAGGAUUCCUGCUCUACGUUCAUCGGAGCAGGGUGAGUCGGCUCCUAAGGUCAGGCCGAAAGGCGUAGCCGAUGGGAAUCAGGUUAAUAUUCCUGAACCUGCGUCAGAUGCGAUGGGGGGACGGAGCAUGGAAGAUCAUCCGGGUGUUGGAAGUCCCGGUUGUUUAGCGUAGGAGGUCUGCAGGCAAAUCCGCAGACGCAUCUCCAAGGCAAAGACACGUGCCGCUACGGCGGCGAAGUGAUCGGAAGUGCUUCCAAGAAAAGCCUCUAAGCACCAGUCUGACGCGGACCGUACCGCAAACCGACACUGGUGGGCGAGCUGAAUAUGCUCAGGCGCUUGAGAGAACUCGGGAGAAGGAACUCGGCAAAUUGACACCGUAACUUCGGAAGAAGGUGUGCCGUAGUACCGUGAGAGGAGAGACACCUUGAGCGGGAAACGGUCUCAGAGAAUAGGUGGCUGCGACUGUUUAUUAAAAACACAGCACUCUGCAAAGUCGAAAGACGACGUAUAGGGUGUGAUGCCUGCCCGGUGCUGGAAGAUUAAUUGAUGGGGUGAGAGCCCUUGAUCGAAGUCCCAGUAAACGGCGGCCGUAACUAUAACGGUCCUAAGGUAGCGAAAUUCCUUGUCGGGUAAGUUCCGACCUGCACGAAUGGCAUAACGAUGGCCACACUGUCUCCUCCCGAGACUCAGUGAAGUUGAAAUGUUUGUGAUGAUGCAAUCUACCCGCGGCUAGACGGAAAGACCCCAUGAACCUUUACUGCAGCUUUGCAUUGAACUGUGAACCGAUUUGUGUAGGAUAGGUGGGAGGCAGAGAAGAGGCCACGCCAGUGGUCUUGGAGCCGACCUUGAAAUACCACCCUGAUUUGUUUGCGGUUCUAACCACGGACAGUGAUCCUGUCUUGGGACCGUGCAUGGUAGGCAGUUUGACUGGGGCGGUCUCCUCCUAAAGGGUAACGGAGGAGUACGAAGGUACGCUAGGUACGGUCGGAAAUCGUGCUGAUAGUGCAAUGGCAAAAGCGUGCUUGACUGCGAGAGCAACAACUCGAGCAGAUGCGAAAGCAGGUCAUAGUGAUCCGGUGGCUCUGAAUGGAAGGGCCAUCGCUCAACGGAUAAAAGGUACUCUGGGGAUAACAGGCUGAUACCGCCCAAGAGUUCAUAUCGACGGCGGUGUUU
rnacentral:rRNA from 1 species